rnacentral:rRNA from 1 species
AUACGGAGGGUGCAAGUGUUAAUCGGAAUUACUGGGCGUAAAGCGUACGUAGGCGGUCCGUUAAGUUAGAUGUGAAAGCCCCGGGCUUAACCUGGGAACUGCAUUUAAAACUGGCGAACUAGAGUUGAGUAGAGGGGAGUGGAAUUUCAGGUGUAGCGGUGAAAUGCGUAGAGAUCCGAAGGAACACCAGUGGCGAAGGCGACUGCCUGGACUCGAACUGACGCUGAGGUACGAAAGCGUGGGUAGCAAACGGGAUUAGAAACCCUAGUAGUCC